CAGUCUGCAUGGAGCCGACCUUGAAAUACCACCCUUUAAUGUUUGAUGUUCUAACGUGGACCCGUGAUCCGGGUUGCGGACAGUGUCUGGUGGGUAGUUUGACUGGGGCGGUCUCCUCCUAAAGAGUAACGGAGGAGCACGAAGGUUGGCUAAUCCUGGUCGGACAUCAGGAGGUUAGUGCAAUGGCAUAAGCCAGCUUGACUGCGAGCGUGACGGCGCGAGCAGGUGCGAAAGCAGGUCAUAGUGAUCCGGUGGUUCUGAAUGGAAGGGCCAUCGCUCAACGGAUAAAAGGUACUCCGGGGAUAACAGGCUGAUACCGCCCAAGAGUUCAUAUCGACGGCGGUGUUUGGCACCUCGAUGUCGGCUCAUCACAUCCUGGGGCUGAAGUAGGUCCCAAGGGUAUGGCUGUUCGCCAUUUAAAGUGGUACGCGAGCUGGGUUUAGAACGUCGUGAGACAGUUCGGUCCCUAUCUGCCGUGGGCGCUGGAGAACUGAGGGGGGCUGCUCCUAGUACGAGAGGACCGGAGUGGACGCAUCACUGGUGUUCGGGUUGUCAUGCCAAUGGCACUGCCCGGUAGCUAAAUGCGGAAGAGAUAAGUGCUGAAAGCAUCUAAGCACGAAACUUGCC
rnacentral:rRNA from 1 species